GACGUAGGGCGCGAGCGUUGUCCGGAUUUAUUGGGCGUAAAGAGCUCGUAGGCGGCUUGUCGCGUCGACUGUGAAAACUCGGGGCUCAACUCCGAGCUUGCAGUCGAUACGGGCAGGCUAGAGUUCGGUAGGGGAGACUGGAAUUCUUGGUGUAGCGGUGAAAUGCGUAGAUAUCAAGAGGAACACCUGCGGCGAAGGCGGGUUGCUGGGCCGACACUGACGCUGAUGCGCGAAAGCUAGGGGAGCGAACGGG
rnacentral:rRNA from 1 species